CCUACGGGAGGCAGCAGUAGGGAAUCUUCCACAAUGGGCGAAAGCCUGAUGGAGCAACGCCGCGUGGGUGAAGAAGGUCUUCGGAUCGUAAAACCCUUUUGUUGGAGAAGAAAGUGCUAGAGAUUAACUGUUCACGUUUCGACGGUAUCUGACCAGGAAGCCACGGCUAACUCCGUGCCAGCAGCCGCGGUAAUACGUAGGUGGCAAGCGUUAACCGGAAUUAUUGGGCGUAAAGGGCACGCAGGCGGUCUUUUAAGUCUGAUGUGAAAUCCUUGGGCUUAACCGGAGUAGUGCAUUGGAAACUGGGAGACUUGAGUGCAGAAGAGGGGAGUGGAACUCCAGGUGUAGCGGUGAAAUGCGUAGAUAUAUGGAAGAAUACCAGUGGCGAAAGCGGCUCUCUGGUCUGUAACUGACGCUGAGGUUCGAAAGCGUGGGUAGCAAACAGGAUUAGAUACCCUGGUAGUC
rnacentral:rRNA from 1 species